AUAAUGCAGUCGAGGGGCAGCAGGGGUAGCAAUACUCGCUGGCGACCGGCAAACGGGUGCGGAACACGUACGCAACCUUCCCAAAACUGGUGAAUAGCCCUCCGAAAGGAGGAUUAAUACACCGUAAGAUAAUGAAGUGGCAUCACUCUAUUAUUAUAGCUUCGGCGGUUUUGGAUGGGCGUGCGCCUGAUUAGGUAGUUGGCGGGGUAACGGCCCACCAAGCCUUCGAUCAGUAACUGGUGUGAGAGCACGACCAGUCACACGGGCACUGAGACACGGGCCCGACUCCUACGGGAGGCAGCAGUAAGGAAUAUUGGUCAAUGGACGCAAGUCUGAACCAGCCAUGCCGCGUGAAGGAUGAAGGCCCUCUGGGUUGUAAACUUCUUUUAUCUGGGACGAAAAAAGGGGAUUCUUCCUCACUUGACGGUACCAGAGGAAUAAGCACCGGCUAACUCCGUGCCAGCAGCCGCGGUAAUACGGAGGGUGCAAGCGUUAUCCGGAUUUACUGGGUUUAAAGGGUGCGUAGGUGGGUAGGUAAGUCAGUGGUGAAAUCUUCGAGCUUAACUCGGAAACUGCCAUUGAUACUAUUUAUCUUGAAUACUUUGGAGGUAAGCGGAAUAUGUCAUGUAGCGGUGAAAUGCUUAGAUAUGACAUAGAACACCAAUUGCGAAGGCAGCUUACUACACAGUCAUUGACACUGAGGCACGAAAGCGUGGGGAUCAAACAGGAUUAGAUACCCUGGUAGUCCACGCCCUAAACGAUGAUACUCGACAUCAGCGAUACACUGUUGUUGUCUGAGCGAAAGCAUUAAGUAUCCCACUUGGAAGUACGAUCGCAAGAUGAACUCAAGGAUUGACGGGGUCGCACAAGCGGUGGAGCAUGUGGUUUAAUUCGAUGAAUA
rnacentral:rRNA from 1 species